CCUACGGGGGGCUGCAGUGGGGAAUAUUGCACAAUGGGCGCAAGCCUGAUGCAGCCAUGCCGCGUGUGUGAAGAAGGCCUUCGGGUUGUAAAGCACUUUCAGCGGGGAGGAAGGCGGUGAGGUUAAUAACCUCAUCGAUUGACGUUACCCGCAGAAGAAGCACCGGCUAACUCCGUGCCAGCAGCCGCGGUAAUACGGAGGGUGCAAGCGUUAAUCGGAAUUACUGGGCGUAAAGCGCACGCAGGCGGUCUGUCAAGUCGGAUGUGAAAUCCCCGGGCUCAACCUGGGAACUGCAUUCGAAACUGGCGGGCUAGAGUCUUGUAGAGGGGGGUAGAAUUCCAGGUGUAGCAGUGAAAUGCGUAGAGAUCUGGAGGAAUACCGGUGGCGAAGGCGGCCCCCUGGACAAAGACUGACGCUCAGGUGCGAAAGCGUGGGGAGCAAACAGGAUUAGAUACCCUAGUAGUC
rnacentral:rRNA from 1 species